GGGUCAAUAAUGAGACCUUACAUUGUCUUGAAAACAGAUGAUGAUAUAAAAAUUAUGCUGAAUAGGAUUAUGCAGGGACAG